CUACGGGUCGCUGCAGUGGGGAAUAUUGGACAAUGGGGGAAACCCUGAUCCAGCAAUGCCGCGUGUGUGAAGAAGGCCUGCGGGUUGUAAAGCACUUUCGGUUGGGAGGACUGCUUCUAGCACUAAUAUUGUUGGAAGUUGACGUUACCUUCAGAAGAAGCACCGGCUAACUCCGUGCCAGCAGCCGCGGUAAUACGGAGGGUGCAAGCGUGAUCGGAGUUACUGGGCGUAAAGCGCGCGUAGGCGGCUAGAUCAGUCGGGUGUGAAAGCCCCGGGCUUAACCUGGGAACUGCAUCCGAUACUGUCUAGAUUGAGUACAGGAGAGGAGAGUGGAAUUCCACAUGUAGCGGUGAAAUGCGUAGAUAUGUGGAGGAACACCAAUGGCGAAGGCAGCUCUCUGGCCUGAUACUGACGCUGAGGUGCGAAAGCGUGGGGAGCAAACAGGAUUAGAUACCCGUGUAGUC
rnacentral:rRNA from 1 species